rnacentral:sRNA from 1 species
GCGGAGACUUUAGAGGCAUUGGAAAAGGGCGGGCGGCGGCAGAGUGGGCCGAGGCGGCACCCGAGGAGGCCACGGGGGUACUCGAGGUCCCACUAGAAGCUCGCGCGCCGCGCGUGGGUUUGGAGGAUUUGGGACAACAUCUACAACUGCAGGUUCUGCAUUCAGCUUUUCUGCCCCCACUAACACAGGCACUACUGGACUCUUCGGUGGUACUCAGAACAAAGGUUUUGGAUUUGGUACUGGUUUUGGCACAACAACAGGAACUAGUACUGGUUUAGGUACUGGUUUGGGAACUGGACUGGGAUUUGGAGGAUUUAAUACACAACAGCAGCAGCAGCAAACUACAUUAGGUGGUCUCUUCAGUCAGCCUGCACAAGCUCCUACCCAGUCCAACCAGCUGAUAAACACUGCGAGUGCUCUGUCUGCUCCAACGCUGUUGGGAGAUGAGAGAGAUGCUAUUUUGGCAAAAUGGAAUCAACUGCAGGCCUUUUGGGGAACAGGAAAAGGGUAUUUCAACAAUAAUAUUCCGCCAGUGGAAUUCACACAAGAAAAUCCCUUUUGCCGAUUUA